rnacentral:rRNA from 1 species
UACGUAGGGGGCAAGCGUUGUCCGGAAUCACUGGGCGUAAAGCGCACGUAGGCGGCUUCUUAAGUCAGGGGUGAAAUCCUGGAGCUCAACUCCAGAACUGCCUUUGAUACUGAGGAGCUCGAGUCCGGAAGAGGUGAGUGGAACUGCGAGUGUAGAGGUGAAAUUCGUAGAUAUUCGCAAGAACACCAGUGGCGAAGGCGGCUCACUGGUCCGGUACUGACGCUGAGGUGCGAAAGCGUGGGGAGCAAACAGG